GAUGAACGCUGGCGGCGUACCUAAUACAUGCAAGUCGAGCGAAGCGGGGACGGGUGAGUAACACGUGGAUAAACUCCUAUAAGACUGGGAUAACUUCGGGAAACCGGAGCUAAACCGGGUACUUAAAGAUGGAUCCGCGCUGCAUUAGCUAUUUGGUAAGGUAACGGCUUACCAAGGGAACGAUGGAUAGCAGACCUGGGAGGUGGACCGGCCACACUGGAACGGAGAAACGGUCCAGACCCCUACGGUGGGCAGCAUUAGGGAAGCUUCCGCAAGGGGGGAAAGCCGGACGGGCCAACGCCGCGGGAGUGAGGAAGGUCUUCGGAUCGUAAAACUCUGUUAUUAGGGAAGCGGUACCUAAUCAGAAAGCCACGGCUAACUACGUGCCAGCAGCCGCGGUAAUAC
rnacentral:rRNA from 1 species